rnacentral:rRNA from 1 species
CGACUCUCGGCAAUGGAUAUCUUGGCUCUCACAUCGAUG